rnacentral:rRNA from 1 species
CCUACGGGUGGCAGCAGUGAGGAAUAUUGGUCAAUGGACGGAACUCUGAACCAGCCAAGUCGCGUGCAGGAUGACGGCCCUAUGCAUUGUAAACUUCUUUUGUGCGGGGAUAAACUCAGGCACGAGUGCCUGACUGCGGGUACCGGAUGAAUAAGCACCGGCUAAUUCCGUGCCAGCAGCCGCGGUAAUACGGAAGGUCCGGGCGUUAUCCGGCUUUAUUGGGUUUAAAGGGUGCGCAGGCCGGCUCUUCAGGUAGCUGGGAAAUGUCGCGGCUCAACCCGGGGACGGCAGUGGAAACUGGGGGGCGUGAGUGGGCGGGAGGUAUGCGGAAUUCGUGGUGUAGCGGUGAAAUGCAUAGAUAUCACGAAGAACUCCGAUUGCGAAGGCAGCCUACCGUAG